rnacentral:lncRNA from 1 species
ACUGCUGCGCUGCUGCUCGGUCAGCCAGCGUCUGGGAUGGGAGCGCUCCUGCAUUUUACAUGACUGCGGGGCCUGUUCCUUGCGCCUGUCUGGUCGCGUCACAUCAUGGAGGGUUUCUCGGGGCGGCCGGCCGCCUCUGAGCACAGCCAGGGUGGUGUUUGCAGCACAGCUGCUGCCUAGGCCUCGCUGCGGAGGUGCUGGGCCACGGCCCCGUGGAGGCAGAGCCGCAGGGCCAUCGACAUGUCCUUUGAAAACGGGCAUUUCCCCAACUCAUGCAGGUGGAGGGGAGAGCGAAGCCAAAUGGGACACCGGCCCCCACACACUGCCCCGGCUCCUGCAUUUCCGGAGAUGGAAACCUGGAGAGCAGCUGGGAUCUUGAAAACGUGGGUUGGACUGCGUCACCCCGACCCCUGCCUCAAAGCCCCUCCGUGGUUGCCUACAGCACAGCUUGAAGCCCCUUGGUUCUGCUUCCCGGGCCUGCAGCGCUGGCCCCAGCCUGGCCGAGCGAGCAUUUGUUCACCCAAGACCUUUCCCCUCCUGCCCUCGUGGAGCCUCCACAAGGAGUAAACAACCACUUCUGGUCCCUCAAAGCAUCAACUCUGUGCCUUGCAGACAGCGGACACGUAACACAGCCACGCGGCGUGAACAUGAGCAGACUUCUUUUUUCCAGGAUGUGCACGGUUUCCACGACAAUGCCCACUGCACGCCUUAUGGCCUCACCAGAGACGUAAAGCAGAUGCCAAGAAACUUCCCCCCAAAAUGGGCUGGCUUGCCAAGCCCAGGACCGCCUGUCCAGCUGGGGCUGGGGGCAAGGAUCCCAUUUUCUGUGACUCUCUUUGCUCUGAUGGUCAGGUUCACCGGCCGUACGUGUAAUCUGAAGCAUUCGGUAGCGAUCUAAUUAAAUGUUAACACAUCAUUAAAGUGAUUUGCGAUAAGC